rnacentral:lncRNA from 1 species
AUGGGGCAGAGGCUCCCAGACCCGCACGAGCCCGCCAUCUGCUACCCCUUGCCGGGACGCCCUGCACGCUGCCCUCCUGCAGCCCGUCCAUUAGUUCCAGGUUCUGAGAGGUCACGCCAGGGCUUCCUGCCUGUCCGAGGCCUCAUGACACUCGUAGGGACAGAGGGGAUGGAGAGACGGAGGCAGACUCCCCUCCUGGGGGAGGGAGGGGCCCGGGUCACUCUUGGCGUCCUGCCACGGGGACCACGCCCAGCUCAGCCCCAACGGGGGCGGGUGACAGGCUGGGGGGCCUGGACCUGGCGGUCAGUCGUGGACCCUGCUUUCAACCCUUUCCUAUGCACCUUUCCUGGACGGCACAACAUUGCUAAGAACAGUGGCGACGGCUGUUCAAAGGAGCGCUUGCCGGAGGCCACCAUUAAGACACGCCGGGGGACUUUGCAAAAGGGACAGACUCGCCAAGUCGCUGCCUACACCUGAAGCCAACGUGACACUGUGUGUCCUCUACCCUUUGGCUCAACAAAAGGUCUGAUAGACGACACACGCUUUUUAAAAAAUCUUCCCGUGUACUCUGAAAUAAUCUCUUCUAGAUUAGAAUUAUUUCUUAAUACUUUCUUAAAUGCCGGGGAAAAGCUUUGAAUGGUUGUAUCUCCUGAUUCAAUUUAACUUACGUGUAUAGGAUUUCUCAGGUUAUUUCUUCUUGAUCUGCUUUGUUACAUGUUAUUUUUCCACAGUCGUGUCCAGUUCACCCAAGUUUUCAAAUACAUGAGCAUUUGACAGCCUCGUGACAGCCUCCCCACCGCAGCCCCUGGACCUCUGUCAUCCUGCCUCCUGGGCUCCCCCCGGCCCUCCGGUCCCGGUCAGGGUGACAGAGCCUUGUCCCCUCUGGCCGUCACCCUCACGGUCCACUCAGGGCGUCGCCGAUCCCCACUAUGCGUUUGCUUUACGCUUCUUACGCGUCUCCCUUUCCCUGGUUCCUUUCCGCCCCUUCUCGCUGUCCCCAAACAUCACAUGGUUCUGUCCUCUGCCACCCCGCCCCCGACAACGUCCCCUCACGCCUGAACCUCGGGUCUCGGAACCUGCCCACUUGGCUCACCCCGGUCGGAGCAGGACUCAGCCCUCCGGGUGCCCCUGUGUGUCCUGUUCCAGGUGGAUCCUGGCUGACACGUGCGAUGCCUUAGACAGUCUACUUCUUUGGGGUCCAACUAUACACAUCGGCCACUUUCUCUGCUCGUAACCAUGGACCCUUCAUGUUUUCCACGCUUUUGUUUCUGCUGAAUUAGAGAUCAUUUCUUCAGGCCUGUCCUCACUGGUCCCCUCUUCAGCGAUACCUAUCGCUGAAUCAAUCCGUCGAUUACCGAACCUAUAUUUUAAAAGCUGUAUUUCCAUUUGUUUUAUUUUUCAUUUUUAGAAAUUCUAUUUGGUUGCUUUUAGUUUGGCUCGAUCACACUUUUACAGUCACAGGCUCCUUAUUUCCAAG